rnacentral:rRNA from 1 species
GACGAACGCUGGCGGCGUGCCUAAUACAUGCAAGUAGGACGCAGUUGCGAACGGGUGAGUAACGCGUAGGUAACUGCCUCUUAGAGGGGGAUAACUAUUGGAAACGAUAGCUAAUACCGCAUACUAGUAGAUGGACCUGCGUUGUAUUAGCUAGUAGGUAGGGUAAUGGCCUACCUAGGCAACGAUACAUAGCCGACCUGAGAGGGGUAUCGGCCACAAUGGGACCGAGGCACGGGCCAAGCCCCUACGGGAGGCAGCAGGAGGGAAACUUCGGCAAUGGGGGGAAAGUUGACCGAGCAACGCCGCGUGAGUGAAGAAGGUUUUCGGAUCGUAAAGCUCUGUUGUUAAGGGAGCGGUACUUAACCAGAAAGGGACGGCUAACUACGUGCCAGCAGCCGCGGUAAUUC